GAUGAACGCUGGCGGCGUGCCUAACACAUGCAAGUCGAGCGAAGCGAUUUAGCGGAAGUUUUCGGAUGGAAGUUGAAUUGACUGAGCGGCGACGGGUGAGUAACGCGUGGGUAACCUGCCUCAUACAGGGGGAUAACAGUUAGAAAUGGCUGCUAAUACCCCAUAAGACCACAGCACCGCAUGGUGCAGGGGUAAAAACUCCGGUGGUAUGAGAUGGACCCGCGUCUGAUUAGGUAGUUGGUGGGGUAACGGCCUACCAAGGCAACGAUCAGUAGCCGAACUGAGAGGUUGAACGGCCACAUUGGGACUGAGAUACGGCCCAG
rnacentral:rRNA from 1 species